rnacentral:misc_RNA from 1 species
GAUCAUAGCAUAUAAGCCCGACGGUUUAACCGAAGAUUCGUACGGUAAUAACUGUUGUAAUCGUCAGACGCCAUUUUGUGCCUCGUUUCGCUGUUGAGCGUCACGAAAGUUUCAUCCUUUUUAUUUUAAUUUAAUUUCGCCAAAACGUCGCAAUUACAUAAAAUGGUGUCUUCUAAUCAACCGAGAAAAACAAAAAUAUUUGUGGGGCGGUUACCAGAAAAUUGUCGCAACGAUGAGUUGCGACAAUUAUUUUCACGGUUUGGCGAGGUGACGGAAUGCGAUGUUAUGAAUCGAUAUGGCUUCGUACACAUGGCACGAGAGGAAGAUGCAGCUGCAGCCAUCAAGGCACUCCACAAUUCUAACUUCAAGGGGGCAACCAUCAACGUAGAGCAGUCAACUGGGAAGUCACGCGGAGGCGGUGGAGGACGCAGGGAUGGAGACAGAAGAGGCGGACCUAUGAGAGGUGGUAGAGGAGGACGAGACGGUGGUAGAGACGCUCGUCCUGGACCAUACAAUGAUAGAAGAGUUCUUCCGAUCCAACUCGUUGGUUACGAUGGAUCUGCUGCAGGUGGCGUCGCAGCUGGCUAUACCGAUUACAAUCGUGGUGCUGGGGACUUUAGUGGACGAGGGACUGACUUUGGCACUGGGUAUACCGACCGUGGAGCUUAUGGCCAGAACGUGGGAACUGCUGCGAUGGGAUACACCUCAACGGCGCCGGGGAUGGGUGGAGGCUAUGGACCUGCUGCUGCUGUAGGAGGAUAUGGCCCAACAGGAACAGCUGAUUAUGGCAGGACUGCUGAUUAUACCCGUGCUGCUGAUUUUGGAGCGAGAACAGAUUAUGUAGUUGGAGCUGGUAUGGCAGGAGAUUUUAACCGUGGAGCACCAGGUCCAGUUGAUUAUGGUCGUACAGAUAAUUUUGGGGCAAGUCGCACAGUUGAUUAUACUGCAAGAAAUGAUUAUGAUCGUGCUGCGACCGGACCAAUGAGAAAUGGCGGUGCUGCCGUGGCCACGACAGGAUAUGGUACUGGAUACACUGAUGUCGGAUAUGAUGAGAGUCAUUGGCCAAUGAGUACUGGUUCCAGCUAUAGUACCGGUGCUCCCAGUUAUAAUACUGGUCCUGGACCACAAGCGGAUAUGUUUAGUAGAAGACCUGGUAGUGCCGUUCCCAGUGGUGGAUACCCACCUGUCGGUGGAGGCUAUACCGAAGGAUACGACAGACCUGAUGCAUACGGACCUCCUCCACGUGGCGGCGGCCGCUUCCCAGGUCCGGCAGAUGCGAUGCCACCGAGGUUUUUACCGAAUAUCUACGUCCGAUGGCGAGAAUCAACGUGCGAUAAUCGAAGAAAACGUCUCUAUCAACGAUUAUGAUCUUACCUAUGCGUGUGGCCGCCCGUAGAUGCGAGACUCCUGUGAAUAAUCCAACCUGCGAUAUACGGAUAAUUCUACAAAUUGCGUUUGCGCUCAAAGCUGGCGUGCUUUGAAUUUGAAAAUGAAGAUUACAAACUGGCUGAGAAGAGAAGAAACUGCUCAACUUUAAGAUGAGAACUCAAGGAAGCUGAACUUUGAAAUGAAUACUACGAGGAGCGAUACCACCAUGAGUACUUACUUUACCAGAUUGUUGGAUACAUUUGGUCAUUGGAUAUGGACAACUAUACGAGCAAAAAGAAUGAAAUGUAUCAAAGACAAACAGUAUGGAUUUAGGAAAGGACGGUUGACAUUAGGAUCUAAUAACGAUCUUCUUGAAACCUACCGAAGAACUGAAGAGACUUAUCACGCGACGCAGUGCAUAGUUGUAUUAGCAACACUAGAUGUUAAAAACACGUUUAACAUAGCGAGGUGGGCGGAUAUGCAAACUAUAAAGGUCUUCAAUGUGUUACUCUAUUUUUGGGACAUGCUAGAGGACCUUCACCUAUGGGAACGACAAAUUCCAGGGUGAUUUUCAUCGAUUUUCUAGCGGUUGAACGUAAGAGGAUCUUUGAGAGAGACAGUGAUGAGACGGAUCGCAACCAAACAACAGUAGACGAAAGGUGACAGACAUUUAACUCUUCGAGGGAGAAAACAAAUAAUAAAAAGAAGGAAUAGCCCUUGUCAGAGAGAGUUUAAUUUCAGUGGGUUCAUCAUCAACAUCAUCCAUGUAAUCCUCUGCCUCAUCCACUGUUCGAUAGAAAACAAUAUCAAAUUAACAUGUGAAAGAUUAAGAAGGAGAAAAGAUCAAUAAACAACGGACAUUCAUACUUACCAACGUCUGAUGAAUCAAGCGCGGGUGGUGUAGGAGGUGCCAUGUCUUCUUCCACAAAUUCUUCCAGUUCUUUUGAACUUGGUAUUUCUACUUUACGUCUUCUAUUAGAUUUUGGUGAACGUGUCUCUUGUGAUAAUGAUGUUCCUGUAUUCUUUAAUGACAAAAUCGAUGUCCUGGUUAUACAUGAAAAAUAAACAAAUAUUUUAAAAGAAAAA